rnacentral:rRNA from 1 species
CACAUCCUGGGGCUGUAGUAGGUCCCAAGGGUUGGGCUGUUCGCCCAUUAAAGUGGUACGCGAGCUGGGUUCAGAACGUCGUGAGACAGUUCGGUCCCUAUCCGUCGCAGGCGUAGGAAAUUUGAGAAGACCUGUCCUUAGUACGAGAGGACCGGGAUGGACGUACCUCUGGUGUACCAGUUGUCCUGCCAAGGGCAUGGCUGGGUAGCUAUGUACGGAAUGGAUAAGCGCUGAAAGCAUCUAAGCGCGAAGCCAACUUCAAGAUAAGAUUUCCCACCGCAAGGGUAAGACCCCAGAAAGACUAUCUGGUUGAUAGGUCGAAGGUGUAAGUGCAGCAAUGUAUUUAGCUUAUCGAUACUAAUAGGUCGAGGACUUGACCAAU